AUGUAUUGUUUGCUGCUUUUUGUGGAUGCACGGUACAAUGUUGUUGUUCCAAUAAUUGGUGUUCAGGGAUUUCAAUGGGCAAUAGAUAAUGACAUGUGGCAAGCUAGAGUUGAUAGCAUUAAGCCUUUAUUUAAAGAAGCAAGCAAUGAGUCAGGAAAGAGUGAAAUAGAUGCAGAGGUUUGGGACAAGAUAGCACCUGCUAUGGCUUCACAGUUUAAUGCUCCCUACUCAGUUCCUCCGAUUGCACCACGCCCACGCCUCCUAAAUGGUGCUGAUGACCCUCCUUGCCCAGUCCUUGGUCUACAAGAACCUGCCUCAAAAGUUGCUGAGGCUUAUGCAGAAGCUGGUUCUGCAGAUAAGGUCAAGGAUCCAAAGAACUAG
rnacentral:rRNA from 1 species